UACGUAGGGGGCAAGCGUUGUCCGGAAUUAUUGGGCGUAAAGAGCUCGUAGGCGGUCUGUUGCGUCCGCUGUGAAAACUCGGGGCUUAACCCCGAGCCUGCAGUGGAUACGGGCGGACUAGAGGUAGGUAGGGGAGAAUGGAAUUCCCGGUGUAGCGGUGAAAUGCGCAGAUAUCGGGAGGAACACCGGUGGCGAAGGCGGUUCUCUGGGCCUUACCUGACGCUGAGGAGCGAAAGCGUGGGGAGCGAACAGG
rnacentral:rRNA from 1 species